rnacentral:rRNA from 1 species
GACGAACGCUGGCGGCGUGCUUAACACAUGCAAGUCGAACGGAAAGGCCCUGCUUUUGUGGGGUGCUCGAGUGGCGAACGGGUGAGUAACACGUGAGUAACCUGCCCUUGACUUUGGGAUAACUUCAGGAAACUGGGGCUAAUACCGGAUAGGAGCUCCUGCUGCAUGGUGGGGGUUGGAAAGUUUCGGCGGUUGGGGAUGGACUCGCGGCUUAGCAGCUUGUUGGUGGGGUAGUGGCUUACCAAGGCUUUGACGGGUAGCCGGCCUGAGAGGGUGACCGGCAACAUUGGGACUGGGAUACGGCCCAGACUCCUACGGGAGGCAGCAGUGGGAAAUAUGGCACAAUGGGCGGAGGCCGGAUGCAGCAACGCGGCGUGCGGGAUGACGGCCUUCGGGUUGUAAACCGCUUUCGCCUGUGACGAAGCGUGAGUGACGGUAAUGGGUAAAGAAGCACCGGCUAACUACGUG